rnacentral:rRNA from 2 species
UACAUGCAAGUCGAGCGAACUUUUGGGAGCUUGCUCCCAAAAGUUAGCGGCGGACGGGUGAGUAACACGUGGGCAACCUGCCUAUAAGACUGGGAUAACUUCGGGAAACCGGAGCUAAUACCGGAUAACAUAUGAGACCACAUGGUCUCAUAUUAAAAGAUGGCUUUUAGCUAUCACUUAUAGAUGGGCCCGCGGCGCAUUAGCUAGUUGGUGAGGUAAUGGCUCACCAAGGCGACGAUGCGUAGCCGACCUGAGAGGGUGAUCGGCCACACUGGGACUGAGACACGGCCCAGACUCCUACGGGAGGCAGCAGUAGGGAAUCUUCCGCAAUGGACGAAAGUCUGACGGAGCAACGCCGCGUGAGCGAAGAAGGUCUUCGGAUCGUAAAGCUCUGUUGUUAGGGAAGAACAAGUAUCGUUCGAAUAGGGCGGUACCUUGACGGUACCUAACCAGAAAGCCACGGCUAACUACGUGCCAGCAGCCGCGGUAAUACGUAGGUGGCAAGCGUUAUCCGGAAUUAUUGGGCGUAAAGCGCGCGCAGGCGGUCCUUUAAGUCUGAUGUGAAAGCCCACGGCUCAACCGUGGAGGGUCAUUGGAAACUGGGGGACUUGAGUGCAGAAGAGGAGAGCGGAAUUCCACGUGUAGCGGUGAAAUGCGUAGAGAUGUGGAGGAACACCAGUGGCGAAGGCGGCUCUCUGGUCUGUAACUGACGCUGAGGCGCGAAAGCGUGGGGAGCGAACAGGAUUAGAUACCCUGGUAGUCCACGCCGUAAACGAUGAGUGCUAAGUGUUAGAGGGUUUCCGCCCUUUAGUGCUGCAGCAAACGCAUAAGCACUCCGCCUGGGAGACUCCCGUU